rnacentral:lncRNA from 1 species
GUUGGGUAUGGGCCUAGCCCUCCCAAAAGGCCCGCAAGACAAUUACCUAGACACAUGAUUACAACAAAAAAGAUCGGCUCGUCGACUUGAAAGCCGGUGUUCGGCUCGGCUCCAGACUACUUUUAGUCGAUGAGAUGAUUGACUGAACAUCAUCGGCUCGCCGACCUGACACAACGGCCCGAUGAGUCGGCCCAAUUACUCGAGGAGGCCCAUCGAGACAAGACACAUUAGGUCAACGAGCGUUCACCUAUAAAAGGAGGAGACAAGGCAACAAGGAGGGGAUCCGCAAAUUACUACACUCACUUUCGGCUAGAAUUAGGGUUUUACAUCUUACAUCUCGCCGACUUGUACGGUCCGACGAAUUUGUCUUCGCCGGACUUUUUCCUCUGUUCUCUUCCCCUUUUGUAACUCGGUUUCGACUCACUGAUCUAAUAAAACAC